rnacentral:tRNA from 1 species
GCCUGCGUAGCUCAGCGGUAGAGCAACUGACUUGUAAUCAGUAGGUCGAGGGUUCGAUUCCCUCCGCAGGCU